UGCAUGUCAGCAAGGAGAGAAAGUUAGCACUCCCCUUGACAAGAAUUUAACACACAUACGGUUAAGGCAUUGGGGCGGCACGGUGGUGCAGUGGUUAGCACUGUCG